rnacentral:rRNA from 1 species
AUACGGAGGGUGCGAGCGUUAAUCGGAAUUACUGGGCGUAAAGCGCGCGCAGGCGGCUGGGUCAGUCGGAUGUGAAAGCCCCGGGCUUAACCUGGGAAUUGCAUUCGAUACUGCCCGGCUAGAGUAUGGGAGAGGGAAGUGGAAUUUCCGGUGUAGCGGUGAAAUGCGUAGAUAUCGGAAGGAACACCAGUGGCGAAGGCGGCUUCCUGGCCCAAUACUGACGCUCAGGUGCGAAAGCGUGGGGAGCGAACAGGAUUAGAUACCCCAGUAGUCC